ACUAUAGCGCGCUGGAAUUGCUGGAUCAUUGAUGCUAGUUGGGUUGGGCCUUCGGCCUACCUCAGCAAGGCCCAACUUAGAGCCUAAUAGUUGCAAGUGAUUAGGUUCGGGCUCUAGAGUUAGCUUCGGCGCUCCCUCAGUUCGAUAGCGCUCUCCUGAGGUGUGAGGUCUUUCAGUAGCUGUCUAGCUGAGUUCGAGUAAUUGAGUUAGGGUUUCCAGAAAAAAGCAGAAUCAUGUAAGCUUCAAGCAGUGGGGAUUCAAUGAGGAUCAGGUGACAUCCAAUGUGAAGUACUUCACAUGAACUGAAUUUGAAGUUCGAACUCGUCUGUGGUGAGAAGAGAAUCGCUGAUCAAGGAUGUAAGACAUCAAGGUGUACAGACGCAAGAAGAAAAAGAAACAGCCAUCUUUGUGGCUGGAAGAAUAGAAAGAAGAGGAAGAAAGAAGAAGAAGAAAAAGGAGGAAGAAAAGGAGGCUCGAUCUAGCCUUCCCAACACUGGAUCGAAUCCCUCUCUCUUUCCAGAUCUCAGCAAAUCUUGUGGGCCCCAUUAUUUGUUAGUUUAGUAGUUUAUUUUUAGAAUAUUUUUUUCCUUGUUAGUCUUUUAAUUAAUUAGGAAACUACUUUACUAGUUGUUAGUUUUUAGGAAGUCAUUAUUUACUUUCCAAUUGGAUUUUUUAUUUUAUUUUUAGUAACUAAGUUUAUCAAUUAUGUAAUGGCCUAGGCCACGAUGGAAUCAAUGAAAAAUUAUUGAAAGCA